UCAGGAUGAGCGCUAGCUACAGGCUAACACAUGCAAGUCGAGGGCAGCAUGGGAUAGCUGCUAUUCAGAUGGCGACCGGCGCACGGGUGAGUAACGCGUAUCCAACCUUCCUGCCAGUAGGGAACAGCCCGGCGAAAGUCGGAUUAAUGCCCUAUGUUCUUCAAUGCGGACAUCUAAGUGAAGGAAAGAUUCAUCGCUGGCAGAUGGGGAUGCGUCCGAUUAGCUUGCCGGCGGGGUAACGGCCCACCGGGGCGACGAUCGGUAGGGGUUCUGAGAGGAAGGUCCCCCACACUGGUACUGAGACACGGACCAGACUCCUACGGGAGGCAGCAGUGAGGAAUAUUGGUCAAUGGGCGUAAGCCUGAACCAGCCAAGUAGCGUGCAAGGAUGACGGCCCUACGGGUUGUAAACUGCUUUUAUGCGGGGAUAAAGUGCGGCACGUGUGCCGCUUUGCAGGUACCGCAUGAAUAAGGACCGGCUAAUUCCGUGCCAGCCGCCGC
rnacentral:rRNA from 1 species